rnacentral:hammerhead_ribozyme from 1 species
AUCCAGCUGACCAGUUCCAAAUAGGACGAAAUGCACGUCCUGAAU